rnacentral:lncRNA from 1 species
GUAAACAGUGCAGCCAGCAGGAAGGUGGGGGAGCCCUCCAAGGGGGCUGCAGCCAGGCUGGAGCAGGGGCGAAGGUGUGGGCAGGGUGGGCUUGAGGUGCAGGUUUUGACGGCGCCCUGGGUCUACCUCAGCAGCCUGCACCUGGAAGGCUGAGGUGAUUUGGAGGUGCUGGGGGUGGACAGGACACUUUUUGCAUAGGGAGAAGAGUCCCAAGGCCCUGGUUGGAGGAGGUAGGGGACAGAAGCCAAGGAGUCGCCUCCCUCCCCCUGUUGCUCUCUUUCUCAGGACGUCUAAGAGGUGCCCCGCGUGGGUGAGUGCUCCCUCCCUCCCCGGCGCUGCACCUCCCCCUCCCCGGAACUGCCACCCCCUCAGCCUUGAGCUGUUGAUGCCCUCUGGGUUCUGUUUUCAUUCCAGGCUGUGGAUCCGGUCGUGGGAAGCAGGUAGGAAGCCAUGAUUCUGGGGGUUAAACGAAAAAAAUAUAUUUAGUGCUCACAGAAAACCAAAUAUUGGGUUAGGAGCCAGGAAUGGAGAGGGAAAAAACCCAAAGCAAACAGCAGACGAAAGAAAUUCCUACCAAACAAGGUCCCUAUUCAUUCUUCCAAUCCCAGGUGCAGGAGCCUGCAGGGAAAGACUGGCUGAAUGCAAGACUUUGAUGAGACCCCAAGCUCAGAUCUUACAAGGUCCAUGGGACCAAGGGGCUCUCAGCACCCUCCCCAAAACGUUGUCAAUAUCUGGAUUGAUGGUAAGCACCCUAGAGUUCACUAAGGUGGCUCUGAAGCCCUUUGGGAGCCAGGGAUGGGGGUGGGGAGGGAGGACAAAAGAAAGUAUUCCUGGCUUGACCUUGAAUAAGUGCCUUGACCUCCCUGGGCCUCUUCUAUGGAAUGUAGGGGUUGGAUCAUGGUUUCACAGGUCACAACAUCUUAUUAUUCCGUUCCUGCCCCAAAUUAGCAAUAAUGUGAGCAAGAUCAUUACAAUAGUGAUCAUCUGUUUCCCAAGGAGUAUAGGGUGAAGCUGAAAGAGAUACAGUGUGAAGAUGAAAGAGAUUCGGCUUUCUGUGUGUUGACUCUCCCUGGAGUAAACUUCUAGGGUCUAAGUUGACUCCUCUGGAGACCCCAGACUCCAGUGAGGUGAUUCUGGAACCUGCUUAGAUUGCUACUUAGACAUCAGCCUGACCAGAGGAUUGCAACACUCAGCCCGACCAGUGAGCAACAUGAUGAGGGUUCCAUGAUCAGGAGAGGCUUAGGGGUAGGUAGAAAAAAAGAAGAAUCAGAAGAAGGGUCUUCAUAGACCUCCUGGACACCUCCUGUGGAAUCACAGAUAAGGCAAAAUGUGUCCUCCUGACCCCAGGUUUCCAAGAUGCAUUUGUAUCAAAUCACUGAAGUAUCUACAGAAGGCCAGGGUCCCAGGUUUCAAAGGACCUUAAGAAGCAGAAGUUGGUGGGGACUGAAUUCUAACCAAUCAAAAGAAAGGAAAGGCUGGAAUUCCUCUCCCUUGCACCUGCCCUUCUCUGGGAAGCACUUGACUCACUGCUUCUUCCCCUAGUUUUCUCAAAAGGGCCCAAAUGGAAUCUGGGCAUCCCCUGUACCUUGUGGACAGGAAAGGUCAACCUGAAGACCAUCAUUUCCUUUAUGUUGAUGAAUGCCCACUCCAAAGAGCCCCAGCCUAAACAUGACCAUGUCUGCUAGUUAAUUCCCUACCCAACCAGGGACUCAACACAAAUGUAUUUGUCAAUUGAGUCAGAAGACCAGAACCUUGGGAGAGGACAUGCAGAGAUAGCCACAAAUAAAACAAAUUCCCACUGGGCCCGGUGGCACACACCUGUAAUCCCAGUGGGUUUGGGAGGCUGAGGCAGGAGGAUCGCAAGUUCAAAGCCAGCCUCAGCAAAAGCAAGGUGCUAAGCAACCUAGUCAGACCCUGUCUCUAAAUAAAAUACAAAACAGGGCUGAGGAAUGUGGUUGAGUGCCCUUGAGUUCAAUCCCCGGGACCCCAAAACAAUUUUUUAAAACUUUUUUAAAUAAAUAAAAUAUAUUCCCACAAACCUGCUCCUUUCCUAGCACUCCUUUAAGCUCUAUAAGUUAUACCACUUUCCACCAAUUUUCCAGAAACUAAAAAAUCAUCUUUGACAUCCAUCCAAUCAGACACCUCCUAUUUAUCACCCAAACUCAUUCUUGCAAUCUUACCACCCCACUGUGACUGCCCUCAUGGGCCCUUGGUAUGCCUCACCCAGAUUACAGAAACUCCCUCCCAGCAAGUAACUCUGAGCAGUCUUCUUCAUUCCAGUCUCUCUGGAUUAGCUGGGGAAACACACACACACACACACACACA